rnacentral:rRNA from 1 species
UACGUAGGUGACGAGCGUUGUCCGGAAUUAUUGGGCGUAAAGGGCGCGUAGGCGGCAUGGCAAGUGGAAGGUGAAAUCCCUCGGCUUAACCGAGGAACUGCCCUCCAAACUGCUUUGCUUGAGGCCGGGAGAGGUGAGUGGAAUUCCCAGUGUAGCGGUGAAAUGCGUAGAUAUUGGGAGGAACACCAGUGGCGAAGGCGACUACCUGGCCUGUUCUUGACGCUGAGGCGCGAAAGCUAGGGGAGCAAACGGG